GACGAACGCUGGCGGCGUGCUUAACACAUGCAAGUCGAACGGAAAGGCCCUGCUCUUGUGGGGUGCUCGUGUGGCGAACGGGUGAGUAACACGUGAGUAACCUGCCCUUGACUUUGGGAUAAAUUCACGAAACUGGGGCUAAUACAGGAUAGAAGCUCCUGCUGCAUGGUGGGGGUUGGAAAGUUUCGGCGGUUGGGGCUGGACUCGCGGCUUCCCAGCUUGUUGGUGGGGUAGUGGCUUACCAGGGCAUCGACGGGUAGCCGGCCUGAGAGGGGGACCGGCCACAUUGGGACUGAGAUACGGACCAGACGCCUACGGGAGGCAGCAGUGGGGAAUAUUGCACAAUGGGCGGAAGCCUGAGGCAGCAACGCCGCGUGCGGGAUGACGGCCUUCGGGUUGUAAACCGCUUUCGCCUGUGACGAAGCGUGAGUGACGGUAAUGGGUAAAGAAGCACCGGCUAACUACGUG
rnacentral:rRNA from 1 species